rnacentral:rRNA from 1 species
GACGAACGCUGGCGGCGUGCUUAACACAUGCAAGUCGAACGGAAAGGCCCUGCUUUUGUGGGGUGCUCGAGUGGCGAACGGGUGAGUAACACGUGAGUAACCUGCCCUUGACUUUGGGAUAACUUCAGGAAACUGGGGCUAAUACCGGAUAGGAGCUCCUGCUGCAUGGUGGGGGUUGGAAAGUUUCGGCGGUGGGGGAUGGACUCGCGGCUUAUCAGCUUGUUGGUGGGGUAGUGGCUUACCAAGGCUUUGACGGGUAGCCGGCCUGAGAGGGUGAACGGCCACAUUGGGACUGAGAUACGGCCCAGACUCCUACGGGAGGCAGCAGUGGGGAAUAUUGCACAAUGGGCGGAAGCCUGAUGCAGCAACGCCGCGUGCGGGAUGACGGCCUUCGGGUUGUAAACCGCUUUCGCCUGUGACGAAGCGUGAGUGACGGUAAUGGGUAAAGAAGCACCGGCUAACUACGUG